rnacentral:rRNA from 1 species
CAGAGGGUGCAAGCGUUAAUCGGAUUUACUGGGCGUAAAGCGUGAGUAGGUGGCUUCCUAAGUCGGUUGUGAAAUCCCGUGGGCUUAACCUGGGAAUUGCAGUCGAUACUGGGAAGCUCGAGUUCGGUAGAGGGUGGCGGAAUUCCCGGUGUAGCGGUAGAAAUGCGUAGAUAGUCGGGAGGAACAUCGAUGGCGAAGGCAACCACCUGGGCCUGAACUGACACUGAGACACGAAAGCGUGGGUAGCAAACAGGAUUAGAUACCCUGGUAGUCCACGCCGUAAACGAUGAGAACCUGACGUCGGUUUGCUCUGCGAAUCGGUGUCGUAGCUAACGCGCUAAGUUCUCCGCCUGGGGAGUACGGCCGCAAGGUUG